UACGUAGGGAGCAAGCGUUAUCCGGAUUUAUUGGGUGUAAAGGGUGCGUAGACGGAGAUACAAGUUGGUUGUGAAAUCCCUCGGCUCAACUGAGGAACUGCAACCAAAACUAUAUCCCUUGAGUGCUGGAGGGGAAAGUGGAAUUCCUAGUGUAGCGGUGAAAUGCGUAGAUAUUAGGAGGAACACCAGUGGCGAAGGCGACUUUCUGGACAGUAACUGACGUUGAGGCACGAAAGCGUGGGGAGCAA
rnacentral:rRNA from 1 species